AGAGAUCACUAUCCUCUUUCUCAGUCUUGAAGGUUAUCCACUGAUUACAUGUGCUCUCUCCCCUAACAGGAGCCAGGCAAAGCAGCACUAGCUUCUGUCCGCAAGGAAGGAACCGUUCGUUGCCUGCACCCAUACCAAAGAUAGGAGUAAUUCAAAUCAAAGAGGAAGAAAUCUCCAAAGGACAAGUACCCACCCCCCAGCUGGAGAGGAGGCUUCUGAGUUUACCAGCCUGGCAGUACUGUCAACUACCUACUGGAUAUUUUGUGCCCAACUGCCUAAGCCUCACUUCUUGCUGCCUCUCACAAUAGCAACAAUGUUCAUUGCUGCAUAGUAGGUAUCUCCUGUGGUUCGGGUAAGUGUGGCCUACAGACUCACGGUGUUAAAGACCUAGUCCCCACUAUUCUUUAAAAAAAAUUAUUUAGCUAUUUCUUAUGUUUAUUUUAAUUAAGGGAAAAACUUAAAAAAUUAGGAUAUAUAGUAGUAACUCUUUUUGAUCUCCUAUUAACUUGUUUUGAAGUCCUG
rnacentral:lncRNA from 1 species